rnacentral:rRNA from 1 species
GAUGAACGCUGGCGGCGUGCCUAAUACAUGCAAGUCGAGCGAACGGACGAGAAGCUUGCUUUUCUGAUGUUAGCGGCGGACGGGUGAGUAACACGUGGAUAACCUACCUAUACGACUGGGAUAACUUCGGGAAACCGGAGCUAAUACCGGAUAAUAUUUUGAACCGCAUGGUUCAAAAGUGAAAGACGGUCUUGCUGUCACUUAUAGAUGGAUCCGCGCUGCAUUCGCUAGUUGGUAAGGUAACGGCUUACCAAGGCAACGAUGGAUAGCCGACCUGAGAGGGUGGUCGCCCACCCUGGAACUGAGGCACGGUCCAGACUCCUGCGGGAGGCAGCAGUAGGGAAUCUUCCGCGAUGGGCGAAAGGCGGACGGUGCAACGCCGCGUGAGUGAUGAAGGUCUUCGGAUCGUAGAACUCUGUUAUUAUGGAAGAACAUAUGUUUAAGUAACUGUGCACAUCUUGACGGUACCUAAUCAAAAAGCCCCGGCUAACUACGUG